UCCAUGAACCCCUGCAUCUUUCCCAUUGCGUGCUGAAAUACCCAAGGGCAGGAAAACAGCCCUCUCCAAUGCCUGACUAAUGCAUUCAGCUUGAAAGGGACACGGGUGUUGUCACUGGCCUCUGGAAUCAGUUUGCCAGAAACGGGGGUGGGAGGAGGAGAGCAGAGCAAAACACAAGCUUAUGGAAGAAACACCAUCCCUGUCCCUCACUGUGACCGGGGUCAGUUGUGCAUCAAAACAGCAGCCAGGAGGGAUAUGUCCUGACCACCACAGGCCUGAACAAGAGCCUUAACUCUUCUCCAUCCUCGGAUCAUAUUGUAAUGUUCUUUUGACUGAUGUGUGCCAUCGUGUGGCCAAAGGCUGCAACAAACCAUACUUGGCUCUUCUGCAAUUUUAAAUGAGAUGAAAGAGAAACAGGAAGAGCAGUGACUGCAGAAAUGCAUUCAUCCAGAACUGUCUCUCCAGCAGAAGCUCAGGAUUCCUCAAGUGACACUACUCUGCCUAUUCCUGCAUGGCUUCUAGCAAGCUGAAUUAAGGGUUAUAAUCUUUGUACCUCUGGUGAACGUGUUGCUGCCACAAAAAUAAAACCCUAAUGUGUCUUCAGAAA